rnacentral:lncRNA from 1 species
UCUAGGGCCGCUCCCGCAGCAUAUGGAGGUUCCUAGGCUAGGAGUCUAAUUGGAGCUGUAGCCACUGGCGUACACCACAGCCACAGCAACACUGGAUCUGAGCUGCAUCUACAACCUACACCACAGCUCACGGCCACGCUGUAUUCUUAACCCACUGACUGAGGCCCAGGGAUCGAACCCAAUUGGAGAUUUUAAAAAGUAGAUACACCUAGUCCUAAUCUCUUAAUUUAUAGAUGAAGAGCCUGGGGCUCAGAAAGGUUGAAUACCCAUGUCACACAAAUUAAUAGUAGAUGCAGGCUUUAGUCUCCCAUAGUUGUAACAAUAAUAAUUGAAAUGGCUUGGAUUGUGAUCACCACAGCAAUUGCUCUAAUCCUUCAUAUGCACCAGCCUAGUGCUAAGUGAUCUGCAUGCACUGCCUCAUUUAAUAGCCUAACAAGGUCAGCACUACCACUAUGCCCAUUUUACAGGUCACCCUGCUGGUAUGGCAGAGAAAGAGUUUGUUAUGUGCUGUCUGAUUUGAUAUCCCCUGCCCCCAUGUGCUUUUCAUGUGCAGGGCCAUUUUCCUUACAUGAUUGUGAUGAAAAAGAAAAAGAAAAACAAAACUGUGAGUCAAUAUAUACUAAAAUACUAAAUAUAAUCAAGUGCCAAACAAAGGCAGAGCUAAUGGAUGCUUAGGGUGUUAAGAAAGGGUGGUCAAGUCCUGCUUGCCUCUCCAUGGAGAGUGUAUGGGGAAAGCUGCAGAGGGGGUGCUGAGCACAGUGUAAGGGGAGGGAGUAUGAGGAGCCUAGCUUUACUAAAAGGAGUGUGCAGUGGGGGGGCUAGACUGAAGGUGUUAACGACGACCUUUGGCACCCUCAAAAGGAGUAACCGCUUUUUUUAGUUAUUGUUACUACUUCAGCUUGGUUGACUUCAAAAAUUUAAGGCAGGUCUUUUUCACCUGGUGUUCCAACCGCUUUUAAUUUACAUAUUAACUUGCUGAUUUUGAGGAGCAAGGCACAAUGAAGGGUUAUUUCAAAACUAAUGCAUUGUACUGCAAGGUAUUAUGUGACUAUGCAUAAUGACAUUUUUGGUUUUUCAUCCUAAAAUAUCAAGGAAAUAAAGUGUCCAGCAAAUGAUCUUUCUCCUAGGCUUUACCUUCACAGGCUGCUUUGGAUAGGUCUGCAUUUGCUUUUGAGAACUAGAUGAUUAUGAAUUGAUCACUGGAAGGAGAUUUUUAAAAGUGCAGUAUUUUGACAAUUUUGGAGGCGGGGAAGAAGAAAAAGGGAGUAACUGCAUAGGAUAAUUAAGUUCCAUCUUUGUAUUCAUCUUAGAAGUUCAGGCCUGUUUAAUUUACCUACUCUAAACUACUGCAGAGGAAACAUUAACAGCAGUGGAGGUAUAAAUAUUACAUAGUACUGCAAUGCUUUCAUUAAAACCAAACAAAAACAAAAGCCUUGUAGUUUUAAAAAAUACUGGCACAUCUGCUGUACUGGUUAAGAAACCCAAAUGUAGCUGUGUAGCACCAGCUUAAACUAAUACCGUAAGCAGAGAAAGCUCCCUUGUCUUUUCUUAAGCCGACUGACUAAUUGAGCACUAGUAUGGUCAAUAAAAUCAUAGCACUGGGGAAACAGUUUUCAGAAGUUUGUGCUAUGCUUCUCUCAGCUGUUGGACAUGAAGAGCUUUAAUGACUCUCUGUCACACUAAUGGGCAUUUCUGUGUGUUUCAGCAAGUCAACCACUUCUGGUUUAUCCUGUUGGUCCCAUUACCAUUCAUCUGCAGACAAGGAUGCUCAAGGUAAGACAGACUUAGCUCCUGAAGGCCUCUGAGACUCAAAAGAGGAGGUUUGAGGUUGUUUUUCAUAGAAAAGCUAACCUUGCAAUGGACUACUUGACCAUCCGACUAUAUGUAAUAUGGCUCUGAUUUCAGUAUUAAAUUGCAUAUUUACUGGUGCAUACAUGACAGGAAGUUCAUUCAAUUAAUUUCUAAGCUUUUCCUUUUGUCUUGGAAGGCAUUUUCUUUCUUCAAAGAAGUGGCCCUGAUUCAGUGGGGGAAGGUGUAUUUUAGGCUCUUCACUGUCAUAAUGUUCAACUGAUGAAAAUAUCAUCUUUGAUAUGCUCCACUGAAAAUGUCUUGUAUGUGGAGUAGAGAUGCAUAUCCCUGGAGAAGGCUGCCCUGCAUUACAAAGCAGGUAAAUAGACAGGGAUGGAGGCACUUCAAUGAAAGUCUCCUGCAGUCCCACAUUAAUAUGCUUGGACUUAAGCUUGAUGUUUCCCAAACAGGCUAGAUGGUGCCCCUUGCUUAGAUUCUGCUCCUGACAGGCCAUAGGCUGGAGGGUGAUUCUUGCUGGACUCUGCAGUUUUCCGGCAUUCCUUGUUUGACAGAAUCCAAUUCCCUUGACCUUCAGGACAUGGAGCAGAACUCAUCACUUCCACCUGGCCUAUCCAAGUACGUAAAGCUAUGCUUCUAGAAUACUGCUGCCAUGGUUAGUUUAAUUUUAAUUUAUUGCAGAGAUGGUUUUAUGCAUAUGACUUUAUAACUGUGCACAUACCCUGAGACCUCUGAAGGUCAAACAAAUAAUAAAUGCUCAUUAAGAGCUUGGUACUUUUGCUGAAACUGGCCAACAUAGGUGUCAUUGGUGAUACUUUCAUGUGGACAAAAAGCAUCUAUGUCAAGUAGGACCUAGUAUUAAACUAUUACAGUAUUUGGCUUUGCUGCUCCAGGAAAUUAUAUGCCAGCAAUGCCUAUUCAGUCAUUAAAAUAGUGGGACAGUUUAAAACUGGGAGUUACUUGCUGUUUAAUCUAUUUUUCUGUUAAAGCACUGGACUAUUUUGGCUUAUUCUUUUUUGGUGUGUGUGUGUGUGUGUGUGUGUGUGUGUGUGUGUGUACAUGCAUGCAUUUACCCUGGAGAGUGGGAGUAGAGGUGGAAAGGGGGGAGAGAAAGAAUAAGUUCUCACACUGCUUAAAUAAGUCUUAUGUAGCUGUUAGAGGUUAUAGAAGGAAACCCUGAUUUUUUCCUGUGCAUGAGGUACAGAAUAGGGUACCAAGGUGACUCCCAGCUGCAGGUACAUAAUUCCUGCCGUGAAAAUCCUGGCAUCCUGAUAUUGUGUGUUCAGAGCCCUUCAAAGUGGAAGUGCUACUCUCAUCUCUGAUGUGGUGUCUCUUUACCCACAUCCCUGGGCUGCUGUGGAGGGCCUGGAUGUGGAGCAAGGAGAAUAUGCUCAGUAUGCCACAGGCCUCCCACCUGAAAAAUGCUGAAUCACUCACUGCCCUCUGGAAUGUGAAUGAAAGUUAAUUCUCUUAAAAAAUAAAACAUAGAAAAUCUGACAAUUCUGGUUGCUAACACUCAUAUAAUCUCAGCAAACAACAUAACCUAUUAAGGUAGUAGGGAAUUCUACUUUAUAAACUUUGGCGUUAUGCUAUGUUCCAAGCAUGCUCUUCUUCAUGUUAACUUAUUAAGAUAUAUCUAUGACUUAAUUAUGGACAUACCUGCUAUUCUUUGUCUUAAACAUAUUUAUAGCUAAGAAAGGAAACCUAAAAUUGGAGUUAAUUAUGCUUGUUUUAUUGGCUUAAAAGCAACCAUAACCAUAGAGCCAUUUUGAAAAUUCAGUUUUCCUUUAAAAAAAAAAAGACACAGAUCCUAGCUUUUGAUUUUAGUAAUGUAGAAUUAUUCUUAUCUUAGAAAGGUAAUCACCAUGGAUUAUUACAGUAUUCCUUUGAUGUGUCUAAUUCUUACUGUUCUGUUUUAAGAACUUUAUUCAUGUCGGUAACGACAUUGAAGUGGAGAUACUCUGUUAACUGAAAUCUCUCUGCAAUUCUUAAGUCAAACCUUUGGUCCUCAUUCUACUCCAGAGCCACUUCAGCAUUGGUCCGGAAUGCUAGAGAAGAUAAAGUAUGGAAAAGGUGUGGGAGAAUAAGAAGAUACAUUUCUAAAUUUAUUCCUCUUCCUAGCCCCUUCUCUGCAGGUUCUCCCAGGGAAUCUACCCCAAUAUUUGAUUAUGUCCCUCCCCAAAACUGAUCAGAUUAGUUUUAAUCCAUCCAAAGUUCUUGUCUUGUUUUAGGUGUCUUAGAGUUUCCUUAACGUGGACAAAUUUAAUUCAUCUUUUUAUGGCCCAAAAGAUCACCAUCAUCCUGAUUUUCAUUGUUGACUUUCCUUAUGUUUAGCUACAGGCUAAACAUAAAAAUAAAAGAAUUAUUUUAGUUCUGUCAAUCCCACAUGGCCCUACUGCAUUUAAAUUCUUAGUAAUCAGUAUAUAAUUGCUAACAAGGUGAUUUUUUUCAGCCAUAUCUUAAGACAUUGUUUUAUUUAUUUAUUUAUUUAUUUAGUCUUUUUGCCUUCUCUAGGGCCGCUUCCCACGGCAUAUGGAAGUUCCCAGGCUAGGGGUCUAUUCGGAGCUGUAGCCGCUGGCCUACACCAGAGCCACAGAGCCACGGCAACGUGGGAUCCUAGCUGUGUCUGCGAUCUACACCUCAGCUCACAGCAACGCCGGAUCCUUAACCCACUGAGCAAGGCCAGGGAUUGAACCCACAACCUCAUGGUUCCUAGUUGGAUUCGAUAACCACUGCGCCAUGAUGGGAACUCCUUUUUUUUUUUUUUUUUAAAGACAUUGUUUUAGACUCACAGGCUUCUCAAGGUCCAGGCAAUCAUACCCAGAAUGAGUGAAGGCAAAGUCAAUAAUAA